rnacentral:rRNA from 1 species
GGCCUGCCCCCUGAGUUAUUAAAUGGCCGCGGUACUUUGACCGUGCAAAGGUAGCAUAAUAAUUAGUUUUUUAAUUGAAAGCUGGAAUGAAAGGUUGGAUGAGAGAAUGACUGUCUCUGUUUAAAUUAUUUAAAAUUUUAUUUUUAAGUAAAAAAGCUUAAAUGAGUGUAGAAGACGAGAAGACCCUAUAGAGUUUUAAUUUAGUUGGGGUGAUUAAAAAAUUUAAAAAACUUUUUUUUAAUAUUACCAUUGAUUUAUGAAUAUUUGAUCCUUAAUUAAAGAUUAAAAGUAAAAAUUACCUUAGGGAUAACAGCGUAAUUUUUUUAAAGAGUUCAAAUCGAAAAAAAAGAUUGCGACCUCGAUGUUGGAUUAAAAUUAAUUUAUGGUGUAGAAGCUAUG